rnacentral:rRNA from 1 species
GACGAACGCUGGCGGCGUGCUUAACACAUGCAAGUCGAACGAAGAGCGAUGGAAGCUUGCUUCUAUCAAUCUUAGUGGCGAACGGGUGAGUAACGCGUAAUCAACCUGCCCUUCAGAGGGGGACAACAGUUGGAGACGACUGCUAAUACCGCAUACGAUCUAACCUCGGCAUCGAGGAAAGAUGAAAGGUGGCCUCUAUUUAUAAGCUAUCACUGAAGGAGGGGAUUGCGUCUGAUUAGCUAGUUGGAGGGGUAACGGCCCACCAAGGCGAUGAUCAGUAGCCGGUCUGAGAGGAUGAACGGCCACAUUGGGACUGAGACACGGCCCAGACUCCUACGGGAGGCAGCAGUGGGGAAUCUUCCGCAAUGGACGAAAGUCUGACGGAGCAACGCCGCGUGAGUGAUGACGGCCUUCGGGUUGUAAAGCUCUGUUAAUCGGGACGAAAGGCCUUC